rnacentral:rRNA from 1 species
CGGAGGGUGCGAGCGUUAAUCGGAAUUACUGGGCGUAAAGCGCAUGCAGGUGGUUUGUUAAGUCAGAUGUGAAAGCCCGGGCUCAACCUCGGAAGGUCAUUUGAAACUGGCAAACUAGAGUACUGUAGAGGGGGUAGAAUUUCAGGUGUAGCGGUGAAAUGCGUAGAGAUCUGAAGGAAUACCAGUGGCGAAGGCGGCCCCUGGACAGAUACUGACACUCAGAUGCGAAAGCGUGGGGGAGCAAACAGGAUU